rnacentral:rRNA from 1 species
GAUGAACGCUGGCGGCGUGCCUAAUACAUGCAAGUCGAGCGAACAGAUGAGGAGCUUGCUCCUCUGACGUUAGCGGCGGACGGGUGAGUAACACGUGGAUAACCUACCUAUAAGACUGGGAUAACUUCGGGAAACCGGAGCUAAUACCGGAUAAUAUAUUGAACCGCAUGGUUCAAUAGUGAAAGACGGUUUUGCUGUCACUUAUAGAUGGAUCCGCGCCGCAUUAGCUAGUUGGUAAGGUAACGGCUUACCAAGGCAACGAUGCGUAGCCGACCUGAGAGGGUGAUCGGCCACACUGGAACUGAGACACGGUCCAGACUCCUACGGGAGGCAGCAGUAGGGAAUCUUCCGCAAUGGGCGAAAGCCUGACGGAGCAACGCCGCGUGAGUGAUGAAGGUCUUCGGAUCGUAAAACUCUGUUAUUAGGGAAGAACAAAUGUGUAAGUAACUAUGCACGUCUGGACGGUACCUAAUCAGAAAGCCACGGCGAACUACGG